ensembl:lncRNA
GGCUCCAGAGGGACAGUGAGAGGAGGUCCGCAGGCAGAGACAAAGCAGCAGUCAGUGGACAGACAGGAACUCACUGACAGGCUCUGUCUGUCUUCUGAGGGGACAGAAUCUCUUGAGGACAGUCCCAGACAGCCUGAGCUCCCAGCCAAGGCCAAAUGGACCAGUGAGGUGUCAGAGUUGGUGGCCAGGAUGACCCGGGGGCGUCUGGGGGUGGCUGUGGGCCCCCCUGCCAGCAGUGACAGUGAGGAGAUGGAGGACAGACAGGGGUUUGGGCGAGUGUUGGAACCGCCCAGACCCAGACAGGACCCCCUGGGGCGCAGUGACAACGGCUACAGGUCCUCUCCAGACCCUGCCUCAAAGCCACAGAAAGCUGCAGCUAAGGCCCUCGAAAGCAGCUCUGAGCUGGAGCAGAUCUUCAAAAGCUUUGCAGGUGUCCAGAGUGAGAGUGAAGAGGAUGCAGAUUUCCACACAGUGAAUCGCUCCUUCAAUAUGACAUGUGGG